rnacentral:rRNA from 1 species
CAGUAGCCACGGUAAUACGAAGGGUGCAAGCGUUACUCGGAAUUACUGGGCGUAAAGCGUGCGUAGGUGGUGGUUUAAGUCCGUUGUGAAAGCCCUGGGCUCAACCUGGGAAUUGCAGUGGAUACUGGGUCACUAGAGUGUGGUAGAGGAUAGUGGAAUUUCCGGUGUAGCAGUGAAAUGCGUAGAGAUCGGAAGGAACAUCUGUGGCGAAGGCGACUAUCUGGGCCAACACUGACACUGAGGCACGAAAGCGUGGGGAGCAAACAGGAUUAGAUACCCCUGUAGUCCCUGUCUCUUAUAC